rnacentral:rRNA from 1 species
GAUGAACGCUAGCGGGAGGCUUAACACAUGCAAGUCGAGGGGCAGCACGGGUAGCAAUACUUGGUGGCGACCGGCAGACGGGUGAGUAACGCGUAUGUAACCUACCCCAUACAGAGGGAUAACUCGAAGAAAUUCGGACUAAUAUCUCAUAAGACCACACGAGGACAUCCGAGAGUGGUUAAAGUUCCGGCGGUAUGGGCUGGGCAUGCGUAACAUUAGCUGGUUGGUAAGGUAACGGCUUACCAAGGCUAUGAUGUUUAGGGGUCCUGAGAGGGUGGUCCCCCACACUGGUACUGAGACACGGACCAGACUCCUACGGGAGGCAGCAGUGAGGAAUAUUGGUCAAUGGGCGCAAGCCUGAACCAGCCAUCCCGCGUGCAGGAAGACGGCCUAUGGGUGUAAACUGCUUUUCCAGGGAGAGAAACUUACGCACGUGUUGCGUGACUGACGGUACCUGGGAAUAAGCAUCGGCUAACUCCGUGCCAGCAGCCGACGGUAAACUGU